rnacentral:rRNA from 1 species
AUUGAACGCUGGCGGCAGGCCUAACACAUGCAAGUCGAGCGGCAGCGGAAAGUAGCUUGCUACUUUGCCGGCGAGCGGCGGACGGGUGAGUAAUGUCUGGGAAACUGCCUGAUGGAGGGGGAUAACUACUGGAAACGGUAGCUAAUACCGCAUGACCUCGAAAGAGCAAAGUGGGGGAUCUUCGGACCUCACGCCAUCGGAUGUGCCCAGAUGGGAUUAGCUAGUAGGUGAGGUAAUGGCUCACCUAGGCGACGAUCCCUAGCUGGUCUGAGAGGAUGACCAGCCACACUGGAACUGAGACACGGUCCAGACUCCUACGGGAGGCAGCAGUGGGGAAUAUUGCACAAUGGGCGCAAGCCUGAUGCAGCCAUGCCGCGUGUGUGAAGAAGGCCUUAGGGUUGUAAAGUUCUUUCGGUAUUGAGGAAGGUUGUUGUGUUAAUAGCACGACAAAUUGACGUUAAAUACAGAAGAAGCACCGGCUAACUCCGUGCCAGCAGCCGCGGUAAUACGGAGGGUGCGAGCGUUAAUCGGAAUAACUGGGCGUAAAGGGCACGCAGGCGGACUUUUAAGUGAGGUGUGAAAUCCCCGGGCUUAACCUGGGAAUUGCAUUUCAGACUGGGAGUCUAGAGUACCUUAGGGAGGGGUAGAAUUCCACGUGUAGCAGUGAAAUGCGUAGAGAUGUGGAGGAAUACCGAUGGCGAAGGCAGCCCCCUGGGAUAAUACUGACGUUCAUGCUCGAAAGCGUGGGUAGCAAACAGG